rnacentral:rRNA from 1 species
AGCGGUUAGUGGCGGACUGGUGAGUAACGCGUAAGCAAUCUGCCUAUUAGAGGGGAAUAACAGUGAGAAAUCACUGCUAAUACCGCAUAUGCCAUGAACAUCGCAUGAUGAAAAUGGGAAAGGAGUAAUCCGCUAAUAGAUGAGCUUGCGUCUGAUUAACUAGUUGGUGUGGUAAUGGCAUACCAAGGUAACGAUCAGUAGCCGGACUGAGAGGUUGAACGGCCACAUUGGGACUGAGAUACGGCCCAGACUCC